rnacentral:sRNA from 1 species
GGCUAAGGCUUAGGGUUAAGCUUAGGCUUAGGCUUAGGCUUAGGCAAAGG